GUUAUAAGUAUCUUUAGGAAUCUUUACAGCAUGUAUCAGGACUGCCAAACUUUGUUUUGUGACAAUCAUGUUGCGAAACGCUCUUCAGGUCAUGUGAAUCAUCAGCCAACAGGAAAUACUAGUGAGCAUAGCCGGCCUCAUAAUUCGAGAAGCAGAAAGCCUGCAGGAAGAAAAGGCUGACUGCAGGUAUUGUGCAGCCAAGAAGUUUUAUUCUGAAACUGCAAGCUUUUGGUGCUCUGAUGGUGAUGCUGUAUUGCAUCAAAACAGGCUACCUGAUGUCCUCAUUGAACUCUACACUGGACACACUGAAGAAGCAGUGUACUUUCCAACAUAUGUCAGAACAUACAACUGCUUGUUUGCUUUUAGCUCGUUUGGUGUCCGCUAUGACAAGGAACUCUGCAAAAGGACUAAUGGAAUAUACACUUUCAAACUGCAAGGACAAACAUAUCAUUUUGUUAAUGACUUGAUACCACACGGUGGUUCCUGAAUGUACUUACAGCUAUAUUUCCAUGAUACAGAUCUUGAGCUUCACAACAGGCUUGCAGUUUCUGAAAAGCUAACUGAGAGUAUUGUUGUUAAAAUUAUGGAUAUGAUGAAGGCUAAUCCUUAUGCAUGCUUCUUUCGUAGCCUCAGAAAUGUUCCUAACUUAGAUUCCUGUCAGAUUGUUCUAAAGACAUUCUGCGACACCGAUCAAAGAGUCUUCAAUAAGCCUACUGCAUCUCAAGUUGCUGCUUUGUGGGUUGAAGGAGACGAAUCAAAUAGUGGAUAUGCUAGACACAUUCAAGUUUACACUAAAGAUGGACAGCAGCGACGAGUGCAAUAUUACUACCGAUGUUAUGAUGCAUUGCAGUACCAUUGCUGUUUGCAUUUGGAGAAACUGGAUGGCAUCCAGGCAUUAAAAGAUCUGAAAGGCAAAAUCCCAAAAAAUGCGAAAGAAAAGAAAAAAAGAAUGCACGGGCAACAACUCUUACAAGUUUCAAAUCUGCUGAUGAAAUGAUUAAUAUGGAAGAACAAGAUGAGAGCUGAUUGUUCUCCAAGUAUUGUCAACACUGGAAGACUAUUUCAACAACUUGCUGUUGAUAUGUACAUCAAGAUUGAGAGUCAAAGACUUGACUUCUACAGGCACAAACAACAGCUUAUAGGAAGAGAACAACUGCAAGGCAUCAUGGGUAGCAUUAUUCAUGGUCAAUCCAGUGGUUCUAAGAUAGGCCAACGUGUUGCGCUUCCAGCUUCAUUCAUUGGAGGACCGAGAUCGAGACAUGAAAAGAAGAGAUAAAUUUGGCCAGCCUGAUAUAUUCAUUAUUAUGACCUGCAAUCCUUCAUGGCUAGAGAUAAAAAAACAUAUGUUAUCCGCUGAUGAAGCUCAUAACAGACCAGAGCUUCUAUCUCGAGUAUUUCAUUCAAAGCUUCCAAGUUCUGAAAGAUGAAUUAUUCAAAAAGCAAAUUUUUGGGGCUGUUGCUGCUUAUACCUACGUUAUCGAGUUUCAGAAACGAGGCCUGCCACAUGUACAUAUGCUUAUCAUUCUUCAACCGGCAUCAAAGUUGUACACCACUGAGGCACUUAACAAGAUUGUUUCUGCUGAGAUUCCUGACGCAAAUCAAAACAGACACCUAUUCAAUAUGGUGAGAAAGCACAUGAUGCACGGACCUUGUGGCCAUAAAAAUCCCAAUAAUGUCUGCAUGGAAGGUUCACCAGUCAAAAAGUGCAAAAAUAAUUAUCCUAAAUGGUGGGCUGAAAAGACAUCGCAUGGAGAUAAUUCGUAACCUACAUACAAGAGAAGGAAGAAUGGUUGAAAAGUUAUCGUUCGAGAUCACCAGCUAGACAAUAGAUGUGUUGUACCUUACAACCCAUACCUAUUGGCCAAAUUUGAUUGUCACAUUAACGUUGAAGUUUGUUCAAGUGUUAAAGCUGUCAAAU